rnacentral:rRNA from 1 species
AUUGAACGCUGGCGGCAUGCUUUACACAUGCAAGUCGAACGGCAGCGCGGGCUUCGGCCUGGCGGCGAGUGGCGAACGGGUGAGUAAUGCAUCGGAACGUGCCCAGCAGUGGGGGAUAGCCCGGCGUAAGCCGGAUUAAUACCGCACACGACCUGAGGGUGAAAGCCGGGGACCGAAAGGCCUCGCGCUAUUGGCGCGGCCGAUGUCGGAUUAGCUAGUUGGUGGGGUAAAGGCUUACCAAGGCGACGAUCCGUAGCUGGUCUGAGAGGACGACCAGCCACACUGGGACUGAGACACGGCCCAGACUCCUACGGGAGGCAGCAGUGGGGAAUUUUGGACAAUGGGGGCAACCCUGAUCCAGCCAUGCCGCGUGCGGGAAGAAGGCCUUCGGGUUGUAAACCGCUUUUGUUCGGGAAGAAAUCCUCUGGGCUAAUACCCCGGGGGGAUGACGGUACCGGAAGAAUAAGCACCGGCUAACUACGUG